AAACGCAAGUCAAGCAAAAGCACUGAAACGUCAUUGCGCUUUCUCUCUCUCUCCGUCUCCGUCUCUCUCUUCCAGUCCAGUCGUCGCUGAGUGUUGGAAAAAAUGGCCUUCCUUGUUUGACCCGACGAACAAAUGAACCAAGGGCGUCUUCCCCUUUCAUUUAUCUCUCUAAAAAGAAAGGCGAUUCUUCCCCCCUGCCGUGGCUGUAACUCGUUUCAACUGCUCUUUGAUCUUUGGGUUUGGAUUUCUUGAAAUCUCAGGUUUCUGGUGUUAUGAAGCUGGUUUGUUGUGAAUAUAGAUAUUUUCAAGCUCUAAUGCGCAAUAGAUAGCAAUUUAAGGGUUAUUUUAGCAAAUUUUGUUGGUUUUAUAGAGAAAAUGAUGUUGAGUAGACAGUUUGUUAAGAUUUUAAUGAGCAAUUGCCUCUGGUUAUUGCUUAGCUGUAGUUUGAGCUAUGGUACUGAGACUGAUAUUGCUUGCUUGAAGAGUAUAAAACAUUCACUUGAAGACCCUUUUGGUUACUUGAACUCUUCGUGGAACUUUAACAACAAUACUGAAGGCUAUAUUUGUAGAUUUAUCGGGGUUGAUUGUUGGCAUCCUGAUGAAAACAAGGUCUUGAAUAUCCGCCUUUCGGAUAUGGGGCUCAAGGGUCGGUUCCCUCCUGGCCUCAAGAACUGCACAAGUAUAACUGGUGUAGAUCUUUCAAACAACGACCUGUUUGGACCUAUUCCAGAUGAUAUCUCUACAAUCAUUGGGUUUGUGACAUCACUUGAUCUCUCGUCCAACAAUUUCUCAGGAACAAUUCCAGUGGGCCUUGCCAACUGUAGCUUUUUGAAUGUUCUUAGACUUGACCACAACCGGUUCACGGGUCAAAUUCCUCCACAACUUGCCUUGCUCAAUCGGUUGAAAACAUUUAAUGUAGCUAAUAAUCUCUUGACAGGGCCAGUGCCAAAUUUCAACAGUAGUAGCAAUAUUGGAGCAGAUGCUUAUGCAAAUAAUCUGGGAUUGUGUGGGAAGCCUUUAGAUAAUUGUCCUGGAACUUCAAAGAGUCCUCGGACUGGGGUUAUUGCUGGGGCGGCAAUUGCUGGGGUGACUGGUGCUGCAAUAGUUGUGGGUAUUGUUAUGUUGUUUUACUACCGAAAGAUGUCUAAGAUUAAGAAGAAGAAGGAUGAUGAUCCUGAUGGAAAUAAAUGGGCAAAGAGUUUAAAGGGAAUAAAGGGCAUAAAGGUUUCUAUGUUUGAGAAAUCAGUUUCUAAAAUGAAAUUGAGUGAUCUCAUGAAGGCGACUAACAGCUUCAACAAGGAAAAUAUCAUUGGGUCUGGAAGAACAGGGACUAUGUAUAAAGCAGUACUUGACGAUGGCUCUUUGCUGAUGGUUAAAAGACUGCAGGAUUCUCAGCGUUCAGAGAAAGAAUUUGUCUCAGAAAUGUCUACUCUGGGGAGUGUGAAGCAUCCUAAUUUGGUUCCACUCUUAGGUUUCUGCAUGGCUAAUAAGGAAAGACUUUUGGUUUAUAAGUAUAUGCCAAAUGGUACCCUGCAUGAUAAUUUACAUACUGUAGAUGAAAGUAAGAAGCCUAUGGAGUGGCCUUUGAGGCUCAAAAUUGGGAUAAGGGCAGCUAAGGGAUUUGCAUGGCUCCACCAUAAUUGUAAUCCCCGUAUUCUCCACCGAAAUAUAAGCUCUAAAUGCAUCUUGUUGGAUGCUGAUUUUGAGCCUAAAAUAUCUGAUUUUGGUCUUGCUAGGCUAAUGAAUCCAGUUGAUACACAUUUGAGUACCUUUGUAAAUGGAGAAUUUGGGGAUUUGGGUUAUGUUGCUCCAGAAUAUACAAGAACUCUUAUGGCCACUACAAAGGGUGAUGUUUACAGCUUUGGGACAGUCCUUCUGGAGCUGGUGACUGGUGAGAAACCUACCCAUGUUGCUAAAGCUCCUGAAAGCUUUAAGGGUAGUCUGGUUGAAUGGAUCACACAGUUAUCAAGCAACUCUCAACUUCAAGAUGCCAUAGAUCAAUCUUUGGUUGGGAAAGGUGUUGAUAAUGAGAUUUUCCAGUUUCUUAAAGUUGCAUGUACCUGUGUGGUGCCCAAUCACAAGGAGAGGCCUACUAUGUUUGAAGUUUACCAGCUUCUAGGAGCUAUUGGAGAGAAAUACCAUUUUACCACUGAGGAUGAGAUUGUGAUGCCUAUAGACGAUACUGAGGCUGAUUAUAUGGAUGAACUUAUUGUUGCUCGGGAAGUGAUCGAGGGUAACUAAAAGGUGUGAGGAACCUUCCCAAAAGCAUUGCAAGCUGCUUUUUGGUUUGGAGAAUUCGUUGUGAAAUUAGAGAGUAUUGUUACUACAAUAAGCUGGAAGUAACGAAGUACAAUAUUCUGAGGUAGAAGCAUCACUAUCAGGCUGGAGUUUACAUGUUUUCUUUGAGAUGAACUAAUUACUUCGGGAUGCAAGGGGAAAGCAACCUGCAGGCUGCACUGACCUUGUUAUGUUAUAACCUGAGGCAUGGACAAGCUGACAUAACAUUUCUUGAAAAAAAAAAAAAAAAAAAAAAAAAAAAAGGAAGGAAAGAAAUAAAAAAAUGUUAGUAUUUAAUGUGUAUGUCAAGUGUGUAGCUUAGCUUGUCGUGUUGCUAUGUCAGGUUUUGUGUCUGAGUGCAGGACAUGAAUAUAUGUCAAUAACUGAAGUAUCGAUGUUUUACAAGUUUUAACUUUAACAUUCUACCUUACAAAUAUUAGGAGAUGUUUGGCUGUCGGAAA